GGUGGCAAGUGAUGAAAAAGUUUCUUAUCCUACACGCUGAAUUGUUGUGUUGAUCACAAGCUCCGCUUAUGUAUUUGUUUUU